rnacentral:rRNA from 1 species
GACGAACGCUGGCGGCGCGCCUAACACAUGCAAGUCGAACGAGCGAUAGAGAGCUUGCUUUCUCGAGCGAGUGGCGAACGGGUGAGUAACGCGUGAGGAACCUGCCUCAAAGAGGGGGACAACAGUUGGAAACGACUGGUAAUACCGCAUAAGCCCACGGCUCGGCAUCGAGCAGGGGGAAAAGGGGCAAUCCGCUUUGAGAUGGCCGCGCGUCCGAUUAGCUAGUUGGUGGGGUAACGGCCCACCAAGGCAACGACCGGUAGCCGGACUGAGAGGUUGAACGGCACCAUUGGGACUGGGACACGGCCCAGACUCCUACGGGAGGCAGCAGUGGGGAAUAUUGCACACUGGGGAAACCCUGAUGCAGCGACGCCGCGUGGAGGAAGAAGGUCUUCGGAUUGUAAACUCCUGUUGUUGGUGAAGAUAAUGACGGUACCCAACAAGGAAGUGACGGCUAACUACGUG